rnacentral:rRNA from 1 species
AUUGAACGCUGGCGGCAGGCCUAACACAUGCAAGUCGAGCGAGCGGCGGACGGGUGAGUAAUGUAUGGGGAACUGCCUGAUGGAGGGGGAUAACUACUGGAAACGGUAGCUAAUACCGCAUACCAUCGGAUGUACCCAGAUGGGAUUAGCUUGUAGGUAAGGUAACGGCUUACCUAGGCGACGAUCCCUAGCUGGUCUGAGAGGAUGACCAGCCACACUGGGACUGAGACACGGCCCAGACUCCUACGGGAGGCAGCAGUGGGGAAUAUUGCACAAUGGGCGCAAGCCUGAUGCAGCCAUGCCGCGUGUAUGAAGAAGGCCUUCGGGUUGUAAAGUACUUUCAGUCGGGAGGCGUUACCCGCAGAAGAAGCACCGGCUAACUCCGUGCCAGCCGCCGCGGUAAUAC